rnacentral:rRNA from 1 species
GACGAACGCUGGCGGCGUGCUUAACACAUGCCAGUCGAACGGAAAGGCCCUGCUUUUGUGGGUGCUCGAGUGGCGAACGGGUGAGUAACACGUGAGUAACCUGCCCUUGACUUUGGGAUAACUUCAGGAAACUGGGGCUAAUACCGGAUAGGAGCUCCUGCUGCCUGGUGGGGGUUGGAAAGUUUCGGCGGUUGGGGAUGGACUCGCGGCUUAUCAGCUUGUUGGUGGGGUAGUGGCUUACCAAGGCUUUGACGGGUAGCCGGCCUGAGAGGGUGACCGGCCACAUUGGGACUGAGAUACGGCCCAGACUCCUACGGGAGGCAGCAGUGGGGAAUAUUGCACAAUGGGCGGAAGCCUGAUGCAGCAACGCCGCGUGCGGGAUGACGGCCUUCGGGUUGUAAACCGCUUUCGCCUGUGACGAAGCGUGAGUGACGGUAAUGGGUAAAGAAGCACCGGCUAACUACGUG